UGUGUGUGUGUGUGUGUAUAUGUAUGUAUGUAUGUAUGUGUGUAUAUAUAUAUAUAUAUAUACACACACACACACACA